rnacentral:rRNA from 1 species
GUGGGGAAUUUUGGACAAUGGGCGCAAGCCUGAUCCAGCAAUGCCGCGUGCAGGAAGAAGGCCUUCGGGUCGAAAAGCUCUGUCAUCAGGGACGAACGGCCGGAGGAGUGGAAAGCCACCGGAUUGACGGUACCUGAGAAGGAAGCCACGGCUAACUACGUGCCAGCAGCCGCGGUAAUACGUAGGUGGCAAGCGUUGUCCGGAAUUAUUGGGCGUAAAGCGCGCGCAGGCGGGAUAUCAAGUCUGUCUUAAAAGUGCGAGGCUCAACCUCGUGAGGGGACAGAAACUGGUAUUCUUGAGUGUCGGAGAGGAAAGUGGAAUUCCAAGUGUAGCGGUGAAAUGCGUAGAGAUUUGGAAGAACACCAGUGGCGAAGGCGACACACUGGCUCAUUACUGACGCUGAGGCGCGAAAGCGUGGGGAGCAAACAGGAUUAGAAACCCCGGUAGUCC